CAUAGGCCAUCACCAAAUAACUCUUAAACUUUAUACUUUUUAUUAACAAAAAUUUUAAUUUUGAUUAUAAAAUUAUUUAAUUUUAAACUUUACAAUUAAAAUUUUUAUCAAAUUCAUUAAUAAUUCUUUAGUAUUUAAUUAGUCAAUAAUCAUUACAUUUUACAAACUUUUUAAAUUAUUUGGAAUAACUUAAAUAAAAAGUUGAGGAGCUUUUUUUUCUUUAAAUGUUCCAUAGUUGAGGCUUUUUAGCACCUUUUAUUUAAAACUCUCAAAAUUUUCGUUUGUAGUCAUUUUUUUUAUUUUAAAAAAGAAUGGCUUUAUCUUGUUGCCAUUUUCUCUUUAUUAAAAAAAGCUAUAUAUAUAUAUAUAUUUGAGUAUAAAUAAGAAAAUUUAAGUAUGUUAAAUAAGAGCUUCAUGAAAUCCGAAUCCAAACCCGAACCCAAAAAUUCAAACCCGAAAUAAUUAUUUUUCUUUUCAAUAUUUCAAAAUAUAUUGUAUUAAAUCUAAAUUUUUAAAAUACAAAUUUAAACAUAACAUCAAUUUUUUAUAUACAUAUUAUAUAUAAUAUAAAAUAAAUUCGGGUUCAGGCCAGGUUCAAGUCGAGUUCGAGCUCUGAUUGGGUACAAUCAAAAUUUAUAUCCGAAAUCGUAUCCGUCGGGUUUUAUUUUUGAUAUUCAUGUCUGAAAUCAUAUUCAUUUAGCAUCAAAUAAAUUUGCUCUGUUCGAAUUCGAAUUCAGAUAAAAUUUUGGAUAUCUUGUCUGGCAUCGGCAG
rnacentral:lncRNA from 1 species